UUUUCCCUACUCCCUGGUUACUUUAUACUUUGUCUUCAGUUUCUACUCUUUCUGGUUUUUCUCACGUGGUAUUUUUGUUCUUCUUUUUCAGAAACUUGUGCUCUGUUCCCAUGCUCCAUGUCUAUAUUAAUGUCUCUCUUACUGAGCAUUGCUGAGCAGUCAAGAUGAAGCUAGGAUCUAGAGCUAACAUUGUCCAAAUGGAUAUCAGAUGCCAACUGUACUUCUUUGAGUCACAGAGAACCAUCUGGUUAUCUGAGUUUGAUGUCAUGAUGUGCUGUGAUAUUAUUAGACUGCUUAGCUUGAUGCAUGAGAAGGAUACAGAUUUAAGUCAGGCCAGUUGAUCUCGGGCUGCCCAGCCCCCUGACCUUGAAGACAAGGAGCAGAAUGAAGCCCAGUGACCCAGGGGAAAUGAAGCAAAGUUGACAUGUGUUACCAGUGAGCAAGCCCAGGAAGAAAUCAGAUGUGAGCACUUCCUACUCAGAAGAAUGAUGAAGCUAAAGCAGAAAACAUGAAUUGAGGGCUUUAUGAUAAGACUGAGAUCCCAAAGACUAAAGCCUGUGCUUAAGCUUGCGACAGAAGAGAAAGGUGAAGUAGUUCAAGACUCAAGAGUGUAAGCUGGUUUAAACAAAGUCAACAGUCACUAAUUUUAACUGGAACAAAAAAGGGCAAAUACCAGUUGCACUGUAGCUGUCUAUGAAACACCGAUUAUUUUAGUACAUUCAGACAAAAAAUCUGCAGCACAGGCAUUUGAUAGUUAUAAAUCAUGUAAAAAAUAUUUGUAUUUGUGCUGAAAUCUGAAUUUGCUGUUACUUUACGCUUACCACAAUAUUUGUAAACAAAAGAAUUUCUUAAAAAUUCAAACACCUGCUAAUUCAUAAUUGUGUAAAUAGUUUCUCUAUCUACUGGUAUUCAGUAAUAAAAAAACCACAUUUUCUAAUGCAGUCCUACUCUGACAAUAACAUUCACCUCACUUAAAACUCCUAUAUUACAUAUAUAUUUUUUUUUCCCUUCAAUACAUUGUUUAGAUUAUGGUUUAAGUUACACCAUCAUAAAACACAAAUUAGCUUCUGUUUGGGGGCAUAACUAGAGGAGGCAGGAAUAAAAAAGGAUCAUUUCUUUGUAUCUACUUAAUUUAAAAACCCAUAUUUGAAAAAAACCAACAACAUUAUUAAAAAGUAAUAUUGGGCUAUUAAUUUGAAAAACAAAUGCUGUAGGCAGUUAAAAUAUUGUAAGUAAUACCACAUUAUUUUAAUAAACUACUUGGGAAACACUUACAUAAUAUUAGGUUAAUACACAAACCUUAAGUGCUGCUGAGUUUGAAUACAGUAAUUUUGCAACUGUGCUUUAACACGGAGCCCAAGUCCCAAGGCUGUGACAGAUUGAGCACUACAGAAACUUUACUCUGUCCCUCAUCAGCUGCUAGAAGAUCACUCUAAUGGCUCCCUCAGGCUGGGUUCAAGGAGCAACUGCAACACUAUAGGAACGGCUGCAAAAUUUGAUUCCUUCUUUUGUAGCCUACUUCCCUCGGGCCAAACUGCAGAGCUUUCACAUAAAGGGGUGACAGGAAUAAAAAGGAGAUUUUUGUCUGUCUUAUACACAACAAAUAAAAUGGAUUUCAAGUCUCACAAAAGAGAAAAGCACCUUCUUGUCCCGUUACGGGUUGCAAGGCUGUGGCCCCACUGAGUAAGCCCCCGAAGGAAGAAGCUUUUGGCUGUAAGUGUAGUACCACUGCUAAUCUAUGAACAUUCAAACCACACCAACAGAACAGGAAUGAGAAUGGACUAAAAAUCUUGAUUCUUAAUAGAAUU